GACAGAGGGGGCAAGCGUUGCUCGGAAUCACUGGGCGUAAAGGGCGCGUAGGCGGGAUGGCAAGUCAGUCGUGAAAUCUCUCGGCUCAACCGAGAAACGUCGGCUGAUACUGCCGUUCUUGAGGGAUGCAGAGGAGACUGGAAUUCCCGGUGUAGCGGUGAAAUGUGUAGAGAUCGGGAGGAACACCGGUGGCGAAGGCGGGUCUCUGGGCAUUUCCUGACGCUGAGGCGCGAAAGUGUGGGGAGCAAACAGG
rnacentral:rRNA from 1 species